rnacentral:rRNA from 1 species
GAUGAACGCUGGCGGCGUGCCUAAUACAUGCAAGUCGAGCGAACAGACGAGGAGCUUGCUCCUCUGACGUUAGCGGCGGACGGGUGAGUAACACGUGGAUAACCUACCUAUAAGACUGGGAUAACUUCGGGAAACCGGAGCUAAUACCGGAUAAUAUAUUGAACCGCAUGGUUCAAUAGUGAAAGACGGUUUUGCUGUCACUUAUAGAUGGAUCCGCGCCGCAUUAGCUAGUUGGUAAGGUAACGGCUUACCAAGGCGACGAUGCGUAGCCGACCUGAGAGGGUGAUCGGCCACUCUGGAACUGAGACACGGUCCAGACUCCUACGGGAGGCAGCAGUAGGGAAUCUUCCGCAAUGGGCGAAAGCCUGACGGAGCAACGCCGCGUGAGUGAUGAAGGUCUUCGGAUCGUAAAACUCUGUUAUUAGGGAAGAACAAAUGUGUAAGUAACUAUGCACGUCUUGACGGUACCUAAUCAGAAAGCCACGGCUAACUACGUG